ensembl:miRNA mir-5593.1 ncRNA
GAUGGCUGGAAUAUCGGUAUUCUCGGCUGAAACAUGCACUAAAUACCGCAUUCCAACCAACAA